rnacentral:misc_RNA from 1 species
GAUGAAGAACGUAGCGAAAUGCGAUAAGUAGUGUGAAUUGCAGAAUUCAGUGAAUCAUCGAAUCUUUGAACGCACAUUGCGCCCCUUGGUACUCCAUGGGGCAUGCCUGUUCGAGCGUCAUUUGUACCUUCAAGCUUUGCUUGGUGUUGGGUGUUUGUCCUGAGGGACUCGCCUUAAAGUAAUUGGCAGCCAGUGUUUUGGUUUUGAAGCGCAGCACAAGUCGCGAUUCAAAGCUAUACGCCAGCUUCCACAAGCCUUUUUCACUUUUGACCUCGGAUCAGGUAGGGAUACCCGCUGAACUUAAGCAUAUCAAUAAGCGGAGGA